rnacentral:rRNA from 1 species
CCUACGGAGGACAGCAGUGAGGAAUAUUGGUCAAUGGGCGGGAGCCUGAACCAGCCAAGUCGCGUGAGGGAAGACGGUCCUAUGGAUUGUAAACCUCUUCAGGCGGGGAGCAAUGCCGGGCACGCGUGCCCGGAGGGAGAGUACCCGCAGAAAAAGCAUGGGCUAACUCCGUGCCAGCAGGCGCGGGAAUCCGGAGGAUGCGAGCGGGAUCAGGAUUUAUUGGGGUAAAGGGGUGCGUAGGCGUACUGCCAAGUCAGCGGGAAAUUCGCGGGGCUCAAUCUCGAUCCGCCGUUGAAACUGGCGUUCUUGAGUCGGCGAGAGGUAGGCAGAAUGCGUGGUGUAGCGGUGAAAUGCAUAGAGA